GGGCCCGUAGGUAAGUGGUAUACCGCUGCAUUCGCAUUGCAGAGUCCCGAGUUCGAUUCUCGGUGGGUCCA
rnacentral:tRNA from 1 species